UACGUAGGGACCGAGCGUUGUCCGGAUUUAUUGGGCGUAAAGCGUCCGCAGGUGGCGAUGUAAGUCUGCUGUUAAAGAGUGAGGCUCAACCUCAUAAGAGCAGUGGAAACUACAUAGCUAGAGUACGUUCGGGGCAGAGGGAAUUCCUGGUGUAGCGGUGAAAUGCGUAGAGAUCAGGAAGAACACCAGUGGCGAAGGCGCUCUGCUAGGCCGUAACUGACACUGAGGGACGAAAGCUAGGGGAGCGAAUGGG
rnacentral:rRNA from 1 species